GAUGAAGAACGUAGCGAAAUGCGAUAAGUAAUGUGAAUUGCAGAAUUCAGUGAAUCAUCGAAUCUUUGAACGCACCUUGCGCCCUUUGGCUAUUCCGAAGGGCAUGCCUGUUUGAGUAUCAUGAACACCUCAACUCUCGUGGUUUGCUACGAUGAGCUUGGACUUUGGGGGUUUUGCUGGCCUGUGGUCGGCUCCUCUCAAAUGAAUCAGCUUCCCAGCGUUUGGUGGAGUCGCAGGUGUGAUAACUUUCUACGCUUGUGGUUUUUCGCCAGAUAACCUUUGGUGACGGAGGUUCGUUGGGGCUCAUAAAUGUCUCUCCUCAGUGAAGACAGUUUUUGAACGUUUGAUCUCAAAUCAGGUAGGACUACCCGCUGAACUUAAGCAUAUCAAUAAGCGGAGGA
rnacentral:misc_RNA from 1 species